AGCUCAUUCUUAUAGGCAGGUACUACAUUUCUCUGUUCUCAAUGAAUUUGGUAUUCAUAAUUCAUUGACUCUAUCUUUAUCGCCUGAUGUGAAUGAUGUCCCUCUUUUGGUAUUUCUCUCCUCAUACUAACUCAAGAGAAUCUCGCCAAAGUCAUUAAGAGAAAGCAAUGCUGAAGAAGGCUUUAAAAUGUCUAAUUAGAACAA